rnacentral:lncRNA from 1 species
CAAAUCCUGCAUUUUCCACCUCCCUACCCACCCCUCUGUCUGUCCUGGCCCCUGUACUCCCGGUGGACACUUCCUAACCUCAGAGAGCCAGAGGGAUAGAAGAAUUCUGGUUUCCAUAGCAACACAGCCAGGUUCACAAGGCAACAAGGUCCCGCCUUUGCAGUCAGCUUAGUGUAACUGUCAGUGGCCCAGGCAAUUUCAAGUCAGCCUAUAAGGUUAAUUUGUCUGCAGUUUUCUCUGCACAAAAGCCCCCGGCAUGGAAGAAAGGAGCCUCUUGACAUCUGUGAAAUUAGUGGAUGUGAAUACAAAAGAAGAGGAGGAAGAAUGGUCUCUCACCUAUUUCUGCAAGCCAAAACCUUCCUUGAAGAGUUGCAGUGGUGGUAUCAGAACACGCUGAUUUAGUUAUAAAUUCAAAAGGACAGAAGAGCUUACACCGGGAUCAUUGAAGCAUUUGCUUCCACCCAUAACCAAAGAAUCACACCGUUGAACUCUUCAGCCUCUGUGGGCCUUUUGAAGAGCAAAACGGAUGUACAUCUAUUCUAUUGAAACUAUAGGGAAGGACGACACCAAAAAUUUCCAAAGAGACAUACAGAUGCGGUGGUGGUGGUGGGCCAUGGCGGACCACAUGGAGAGAGGCAAUAUCCUAGGAAUGGAGGGACAAGUAGAGAAGCAGCCUGAGUUCCUGAGCACUAGCAAAGGACAGAGCACCCACACCAUCCUGGACCUUUAGCUUUUGACUCCACAGCCCCAUACAGGGAACAAAGAAGACCCUUCCUGCCCCAUUCGCUUCUUCUAAUCUACUGCAGAUUCCAUGUAGAUCACAGCCUCUGAACAGAGAUGCAUGGUACCAGAGCCCGUGGAGCCAAGUCUGAGAAAAGUUUCUCCAUCCCAAACAUGGCUGCACAUCGGAAAUCACCUGGGAGCAUUAAAGUGUGCCCUUUGUGCAGCCCUGGAGGGACCCGGUGCGAGAGUCAGAGCCUCAGUGAUCCCACCUGCAGAAUGACUCACCGGCUCUCCUGGAGAACAUGCCUGGGCCAUGAACCCAAAAAUCUUUGAAUCAGUACCAGACCCAAACUCUCAAUUGUGGGGCCCCAAGAGAUGACCUGGGAGAGACCGUGGGGACAUAAAACCAUAGGCUCAGAAGUGAAGAAGAGGCUUUCAAAGCCACCCACUCAAACUUCCCGUUGAUGCCUGAAAGCUCCCAGCUACAUCCUCACUGAGCUGUGGGCCAGCAGGAGGAGCCGCCUUCCCAAAAGCUUGUUUGCAAUUGAUUGGCAUCAGAUGGUGACAAGCAGAACGGGCUCCUUUUCACUCGGCUGCAUUUUCAGCAAGUCCUCCAGGUGACCCUGAUGCAUGGAAGAGUUUGAGAACCACUGUCACAGGGAAACAAUGCCUUUACCACUUGAUAUGCUGCUCAAUCCAGCUGGAAGGGAGUGCCUUGUCACAGCAUCAGAUAACAAAUCAUAGAUCAUCGUUUGCAAGCCAGAAGCCAUCUUGGAAGCUCAGUCCAAACUGCUCUCCCGCACAUAAGACCCCUCUAUUGCAAUCCUGAUAGAUGGCUAUCCAUCUCUGGCUGGAUGACCCCAGGACUGGACACUCACCUCUUUCUAAGAUGCUGUUGCCUUUUUUGUAAAGCUCUUAGGUUAGAAGUUUCUUCCUUACGGUCAACAAAGAAUUGCUCCCCUAACCUCCACCCUCCACCUAUCUCAGCCCUGCACCCUCUGGCUGGCCACACCAGCCCUGAAAACAUCACCUUCAUUGAGGCCUCCAAGAUGAUUGCUCCAUGGCUGCCCCAGUCCCACGGAAGAGUAGUCACUGCUAAAAGUUGUUGAAUCUGUGCCCAAAUAGUCUCCCAUUUGAGGGGGUUUCUUAAAAGGAAAGCAAGGUCAAGAGGAGGAAGGAGGGAGGGAGGAAAAGAGGAAGGAAGGAAGAAAGGAAAGAAGAUGCUUUCCAAAUACUCGCUUAGUAUUUGGCAUUUAAUCCACAAAACAACACCGUGAGACAGACAUCAUUCUCCAGCACUUUAAAGAUCAGGAAGCAAAGUUCCGUGAGGUAAAGCAAAGUGACAGCGGCCAUCCUCAGGGUUUCCUCUCCUCUCAGGAUGUCCUUUCUUCAUCAUGGCAAGACCACCAGCAGCCAUUUCCCAUUGGCAGCCUAGAGGUUUAACCACCCCAGCAGACGGAGAACCCACUUAAUCAGACUGUUCACCGGGACCUAGGAAUGGUUCUCAAUGCUCUAGUUUAGGUCACGUGCUCAUCCCUGAACCAAUCACUAUGGCCAGAUACUUCCAAGAUGCUCCAAUUGGGAAAAGCUCGUCAGUAUCGCUUGUUCCCAGGAUGCUCAACAUUGGCUCAGCCAUGGCCUCCAGCCCAGCUGAUAUUUUGCAAAAGACCUAGCUAAGGGCCACCUAUUUCUAGAGGUGUUUGGUGAGGGGCAACCUGAGGCACUUGGAACAACUCCAGAGGAUGCCAUUCACCUAAAGUCCAGUACACACUGACUUCUUCCACCUCUGAUGAAGCAAGAGUGAUGUCUGCGAUAAGGACUCAUCCUAGAGAUAGAAGACUUCAAUCCACGCUCCAGUCUUGCUACCCAAUAACUGUGUAACAUUCUCUCAGCCUCUAUUUCCAUAGCUCCGAAAUGGGGACCAGGGCUCCUACUUCACUGGUUUGUCUAAGGACUACUUAAGAGCAGUGGUUUUCAACCUGGAGGGCAUGUCAAAACACAUUGCCAUGCCUCAUGCCCAGAAUUUCUGAUUCAGUUGUUCAGGGGUAAGAGCUGAGAAUCUGCAUUUACUGAUGCUGCUGGUCCAAUGGCCUCACUUUAAAAACCACUGUUUAAGAUAAUGUAGAGGAGACAUUCUGAUUCGCUUGUAAAGAGAUGAUAUCGAUAAUGAUGAUGAUGAUAAUGGUGAUGAUGACGAUAGUAAUACAAUUUUUCUAGAACUUAAAUUUUACACCAUAUGCAAGUUUUCUAUCAAAAUAGUUUCAAAUUCAUUCGAACAUUAGGAAGAUGAUAUGCUUUCUGCAUAACCACAUGAAAAAAAUUGAUGUGCUUAAUUCUGUCACACGAGUCAGGAACAAUUUUACUAGCAGAAAAUAUGACUAUAUUAUACGCAUGCAGGUUUCUGCAUCUCAAGAAAUAACAAGACAUAAAACGUUCCUUUAAAAAAAUCACAUUUUUAAAUUUCUUAUUAAUAUUUAUUGCUUAUUCAUUUUGGGCUCAAUUUAAGGAAAAUUUAUGAGAGAAAAACUUAAAAUUGAGAAAAUUCUAUCCUGAGACCUUGAUGUUAUUGAUGAGUUUGGAAAAGACCACUGUGAUGUGAUUAUGAUGUUGAAUGAAUUUGAACAGCUGAGGGAACUCAGGGUUCCCUGUGGGUAUAGUUUGAGAACCGCCAGCAAGGUGUAGCUAUGCCAGGCCAGUAUUGCAGGUUGAGCUCUGUGGGACAUAGCACCUUAGUGGAUCCCUCCAUGCAGAGAGCUGAAACUGACCAUGUUGCUUGGGUGAAAGUCACAUCCACUGUCAGGCAGCCCUGUCCCCACAGCUCUCUCUUCCUAUAAGUUGUAGUAACUACGCCCUCCCUCCUUCCUCCUACCAAUUCCCUCUGCCCUUCUCCCCAUUACUAACCCAAGGAUAUUGCCUAUUCCUUGUGUUUCUCUGCACCCUGCCCAUGCCUUUGGAAAGAAUUCUUUUCUUAAACUCUCUUCAAAUUACCCAGCUUGAGCGUAUCAUUUGUUUCCCACUAGGACCUGCCUGCUACUUAACACAGAAGUUCCCAAACUUUCUGUCUACAGAAUCAAUAGUGUCUCCAUAAUUUUUUCAUGGGAGCACCAGGCCAACAGAAAUGCCUAACAAUUCUGAUUAUUGAGUAGUCAGGUUCAAACAAUUUAGUAAGUAUUUAUAUCCUAACUUAGCUGAUUUUUAAAAAGAAUGCACAUAAAUUAAAAGAAAAAAUAAUAUUUUUAUUUUAUUCUUAAAUAACUAUAAUUACUUAGUAAUGGGAUGUGUGUCUACCUGUUGAGCACUGCUCAACUUCUCAACCUUGGAAUCAGAUUGGACACGCCACCUUUAUUGCCUACUCCACACUGAUUUACAUACCAUGCUUGAUUUUUAUCAUAGCAACGACCGAAAAUCUGCUUUGCAAAGAUGUGACAUCAUCAAAAGGAAUGUAGCACAAUCUAAUGUCGAAACUGUGAAUUACCCUGAGCUAGUAGUUAGCACGAGGUCACGAGGAUGUCAAGUUUCCUCAAACCAAUUAAAAUGACCCAAGGCACCCCUCUGAGUUUGCUGUGGUGCUCUGUGGCACCUUGGCACACAAUUUGGGAACCAUGGACAUAGCGUCAUUCUCACUCUCUUGGAUUCUGGUGUGCUUUUUUGAGUAGGAAAGAAAGAGGCAGAGCUGCAACCAGCUUGACAGGAAUCAAAUCUGGGAAUGUGUCUCAGCAGAGGCGGGGGAGGAAAAGGUUGCAAACAGCUGGAUUAGAAUCAUUAGUAUAAAGGAAGUACUCCAUGGCUGACUUACGCCAUCCAUUGAAUUCAGCUUCUCAUAAUCCUCUUGCAUCUGACCUUGGCUCCAAUGCUGGGAGUAACCCCUCCUUCACAUUUGGGGCCGGUAAGUCUCUUCGAUCCGCAGGGAAGCCUGAAACAGCUGCAUCCAUGCCCUUCCUCUAUAUGUCUUCCGUCUAUGAGAAAAGCCAGGCAACAAUUUGGCUCUUGUAUUCACUGUUCUGAACUUUAUUUUUCUCUUGGUCUCUUAUCACCUCUGUUCAAAGCCGAUGUCUAUUACCACUUUGCAGCCAACAUGGCCAGAGAUGAAAGAUUCUGUCGUUAUUUUCUCUACAUAACAAAUCACAAAGCUGCUUUAUCCCAUUCCUUGAUUGCCUCUGUUUCAAGACUCAUUGUUUCUAACUAUCAGAGGCACAUACGAAUUUCCUCUUUAUGCCUUUUCUCUUCCAUUCCCUGCAAACACUUAGCCAUUUAUUCAUUUUUAUCAACACAAACAUCGGUAACACUUCGGAAUAAUCGGCUCAGCUAUGAUAGCUCAUUUAUUAUUCAUUGCAAUAACCUUCAGCUCAUUCCACAUCAAUAAAGCCGAGAGGGAACUGGCUCAGCCCUCUCUCGUGUGGGCUGGGGGUGCACUCUCAGGGCUGCUGUGGGAAGCCCUCCGCUCACAGCACAGACAGGAUGCCUGGACCCUGCCUUGGAUCCUGUACCUCCAGGCUCUUUUGGAAAGCAGCUGAAAUCGAUCAGGUGAUCUGGGGCUCAGAGCAAACCUCCACAUGGAUUCCCUGCUGUUUCCACUAACAUGAGGCUGAAAAGAGAGAGGGUGUUGUGUCAGCCAACCCUAAGUUUGAAUCCCAGCUGUGCUGUUCACUAGCAGGUGACUGCAUGCAAGUGACUUAACCUCUCUGAGUCUUGGUUUCCUCAUCUGCAAAAUGAGGCUAUGACUACCUGCCUCUGAGCCUUGUCAUAAUGAUUAAACAAACUAUAUGACCUGCAAGAUGCUCGCACACAGUAGGCUCAUUACUAUCAUUAGAGCCCAUGAGUUGACCCACACACUGAAUCCAGCUCACAGGCUUCAUGAUAACGAAUAGAUGCAGCAAAGUCGCACGCGUGGACUUUCAAGCCAGAUGUUAGGUUUAUUGGGACCUUUCCUCACUUUCCUGGGUCAGUGACUUUGUACAAGUUACUUAAACCUCUCUAAGCCUCUGUGAAAGGAGGCUGAUAAUAACCCGCCCAUGCAGAGUUGCUAUGAGGAUUAAAUGUCUUGGUGAAUGGGAAAUAUUAACACGUUGCCUGGGGCACACUAAUUACAUACUGGAUGCUCAAAGAGCUGUUUUUUACAAAUAUUAUUAGUAUUUGCCAUAAUUUUAGGCCAUGCUGGUCUGGGAAUAAAAAUGGGCAAUAAUCUUA